GGGUCAUUACCAAGGCUUUUAGAAUGCAGUUUUCUUAUUUGCUGUGGACAUGACCUUAAAAAAAAAUCCCAGUAGGUUUGGUUCUUGCUAUUCGGUUAGCAUUCCGCCUACAGGGGACAUUC